rnacentral:rRNA from 1 species
UACGUAGGGUGCAAGCGUUGUCCGGAAUUAUUGGGCGUAAAGAGCUUGUAGGCGGUUUGUCGCGUCUGCUGUGAAAUUUCGGGGCUCAACCCCGAACUUGCAGUGGGUACGGGCAGACUAGAGUGUGGUAGGGGAGACUGGAAUUCCCGGUGUAGUGGUGAAAUGCGUAGAUAUCGGGAGGAACACCAGUGGCGAAGGCGACUACCUGGCCUGUUCUUGACGCUGAGGCGCGAAAGCUAGGGGAGCAAACGGG